GAGAGCACUGCUAUUGGAUUUCGUUUAAGCCAUGCGAGUCGAGAGGGUUCGGCCCUCGGCAUACUGCUCAGUAACACGUGGAUAAUCUGCCCUUAGGAAGAGGAUAACCUCGGGAAACUGAGAAUAAUACUCUAUAGUUCUAAGAUGCUGGAAUGCUUUUAGGAUGAAAGAUUUAUCACCUAAGGAUGAGUCUGCGGCCUAUCAGGUUGGAGUGGGGGUAACGGCCCCACUAGCCUACGACGGGUACGGGUCUUGGGAGAGAGCGCCCGGAGAUGAAAUCUGAGACACGAUUUCAGGUCCUACGGGAUGCAGCAGGCGCGAAAACUUCGCAAUGCGCGAGAGCGUGACGAGGGAAAUCCAAGUGCCUAUGCUUUGCAUAGGCUGUUCAGAAUUCUAAAAAAAUUUUGAAGUAAGGGCUGGGUAAGACGGGUGCCAGCCGCCGCGGUAAUACCCGCAGCCCGAGUGGUGUUCGCUUUUAUUGGGCCCAAAACGUUCGUAGCUGGUCUGGUAAAUUCUUGGAUAAAUCGGACAGCUUAACUGUUCGGCUUCUAGGGAGACUAUCAGACUUGGGACCGGGGGAAGUCAGAGGUACUCGUGGGGUAGGGGUAAAAUCCUAUAAUCCCAUGGGGACCACCAGUGGCGAAAGCGUCUGACUACAACGGCUCCGACAGUGAGGGACGAAGCCCAGGGGCGCGAACGGGAUUAGAUACCCCGGUAGUCCUGGGUGUAAACGCUGCAGGCUUGGUGUUGGGGGGCUUUAGAGGUCGCCCAGUGCCGUAGAGAAGUUGUUAAGCCUGCUGCCUGGGAAGUACGCACGCAAGUGUGAAACUUAAAGGAAUUGGCGGGGGAGCACCGCAACGGGAGGAGCGUGCGGUUUAAUUGGAUCCAACGCCGUAAACCUCACCGGGGGCGACUGUUAUAUGAAAGCCAGGCUGAUGACCUUGCUAAAUUUUCAGAGAGGUGGUGCAUGGCCGUCGUCAGUUCGUGCUGCAAAGUGUUCUGUUAAGUCAGACAACGAACGAGACCCUCAUCUUUAGUUGCCAAUAUGGAGUCAGCUUCAUAUGCACACUAAAGGGACCGCCAGUGCCAAACUGGAGGAAGGAGAGGGCAACGAUAGGUCAGUAUGCCCCGAAUCCCCCGGGCGACACGCGCGCUACAAAGGUUGGGACAAAGGGCUCCAACCCCGAGAGGGGAAGGCAAUCCCGAAACCCACUCGUAGUCCAGAUUGAGGGCUGCAACCCGCCCUCAUGAAGCUGAAUUCUGUAGUAAUCGCAGGUCAACAUCCUGCGGUGAAUAUGCCCCUGCUCCUUGCACACACCGCCCGUCAAACCAUCUGAGUUGAGUUUGAGUGAGGGUUUGUCGUCUUGAUGAAUUCGAACUUGGGUUCAGCGAGGAG
rnacentral:rRNA from 1 species